GGUGGUUUGUCGCGUCGUCUGUGAAAUUCCGGGGCUUAACUCCGGGCGUGCAGGCGAUACGGGCAUAACUUGAGUACUGUAGGGGUAACUGGAAUUCCUGGUGUAGCGGUGAAAUGCGCAGAUAUCAGGAGGAACACCGAUGGCGAAGGCAGGUUACUGGGCAGUUACUGACGCUGAGGAGCGAAAGCAUGGGUAGCGAACAGGAUUAGAUACCCUGGUAGUCCAUGCCGUAAACGGUGGGCGCUAGGUGUGAGGGUCUUUUCACGACUUUCGUGCCGUAGCUAACGCAUUAAGCGCCCCGCCUGGGGAGUACGGCCGCAAGGCUAAAACUCAAAGGAAUUGACGGGGGCCCGCACAAGCGGCGGAGCAUGUGGAUUAAUUCGAUGCAACGCGAAGAACCUUACCUGGGCUUGACAUACACUGGAUCGGGCUAGAGAUAGUCUUUCCCUUUGUGGCUGGUGUACAGGUGGUGCAUGGUUGUCGUCGGCUCGUGUCGUGAGAUGUUGGGUUAAGUCCCGCAACGAGCGCAACCCUUGUCUUAUGUUGCCAGCAUUUGGUUGGGGACUCAUGAGAGACUGCCGGGGUCAACUCGGAGGAAGGUGGGGAUGACGUCAAAUCAUCAUGCCCCUUAUGUCCAGGGCUUCACACAUGCUACAAUGGUCGGUACAACGCGCAGCGACACUGUGAGGUGGAGCGAAUCGCUGAAAGCCGGCCUUAGUUCGGAUUGGGGUCUGCAACUCGACCCCA
rnacentral:rRNA from 1 species